rnacentral:rRNA from 1 species
AUUGAACGCUGGCGGCAUGCUUUACACAUGCGAGUCGAACGGCAGCGCGGGCUUCGGCCUGGCGGCGAGUGGCGAACGGGUGAGUAAUGCAUCGGAACGUGCCCAGUAGUGGGGGAUAGCCCGGCGAAAGCCGGAUUAAUACCGCAUACGACCUGAGGGUGAAAGCGGGGGACCGAAAGGCCUCGCGCUAUUGGAGCGGCCGAUGUCGGAUUAGCUAGUUGGUGGGGUAAAGGCUUACCAAGGCGACGAUCCGUAGCUGGUCUGAGAGGACGACCAGCCACACUGGGACUGAGACACGGUCCAGACUCCUACGGGAGGCAGCAGUGGGGAAUUUUGGACAAUGGGGGCAACCCUGAUCCAGCCAUGCCGCGUGCGGGAAGAAGGCCUUCGGGUUGUAAACCGCUUUUGUUCGGGAAGAAAUCCUCUGGGCUAAUACCCCGGGGGGAUGACGGUACCGGAAGAAUAAGCACCGGCUAACUACGUG